CAGGUGAUAGAAUUGUUCAUGUUAAAGAAAGAAAAAAAAGGAAAUACCUUCUGAAGCUACACAAAGAGUUGAACGGAAUACAAUAAAAAUGAUGAUUGUGUCUUCCUCAAAAAAAGAAAAGAAAAAAAAAAAGCUGUGCAAGUCAUGCCAUGGCAGAAAGCCAGGAAACAGCAUUUCUCCAUUCUCUCUGCAUCAUCUCCUGCCUCCAGGUUCCUGCCCAGUUUCAGUUCCUGCCUUGGCUUCCUUCAAGUGCUGUGACCCAGAAUAUAGCGAACAGAGUGAAUGAGAAUUAUUUCAACCUUCAGUUCCUCAUUAGCGGAUCACCCAAAUGUAAGAAGAAAACUACAUUCAUCUGGCAGAGGAAAUCAGUGUUCCAGAGUAGCUAUGAAUGGGAUCAUAUGGAGAGAGAGUCCUUCGUGAGCCAGCCAUUCCUCUGUGGGGCAGAGUCUGUACUCCAGAAUGGAUAGCCCUUCGCCCUAUGCUUUUCAGUUCUGCUGAACUUCACCUCACCUCUACAGGUAGCU